rnacentral:lncRNA from 1 species
AUCGCGUAGCACAUUAGCGGACCUAGAGCUGGGCACAUAUUAGCGGACCUAGAGGUGUGUGGCAGAUAUACAGGAAGCACAAGAUGAGGCAGCAGAUCUAGAGGCAAAUGACUUCCUUCUCCCUGCCUAGUGGUGACUGCCAGCAUCACGCCCUCCCGGGAGAGGUGAGAAACCCCUCCACGCAAGCACUGGAACCUUCACAGUCAAGAGUGGCAACAGCUCCGGUUACUGGACUUGGGCCUGUUGAAUUCUAAUACUCUGUGACUCCACAUCUGGGCUGAAUUUUUGCUGAGUAUGAUGGAAUUUACAUGCUUCCUCCCUAGCCCCUACUUGUCUGUAUAGUUG